UACGAAGGGGGCUAGCGUUGCUCGGAAUUACUGGGCGUAAAGCGCACGUAGGCGGCUUCUUAAGUCAGGGGUGAAAUCCUGGAGCUCAACUCCAGAACUGCCUUUGAUACUGGGAAGCUCGAGUUCGGGAGAGGUGAGUGGAACUGCGAGUGUAGAGGUGAAAUUCGUAGAUAUUCGCAAGAACACCAGUGGCGAAGGCGGCUCACUGGCCCGAUACUGACGCUGAGGUGCGAAAGCGUGGGGAGCAAACAGG
rnacentral:rRNA from 1 species